AAGAUAUUAGUAAUAACAAUUACAUAACCUUGCCAUGGUUAAAUUAUAAGUUUUAAUCUUAUAUAUCUUA
ensembl:Mt_tRNA